GACGAACCGUGCAAACGUUAUUCGGAAUCACUGGGCUUAAAGGGUGCGUAGGCGGUGUGGAAAGUUGGGUGUGAAAUCCCUCAGCUUAACUGAGGAACUGCACUCAAAACUGCCGCGCUUGAGGGGGACAGAGGUGAGCGGAACUUAGGGUGGAGCGGUGAAAUGCGUUGAUAUCCUAAGGAACACCAGUGGCGUAAGCGGCUCACUGGGUCUCUUCUGACGCUGAGGCACGACAGCUAGGGGAGCAAACGGG
rnacentral:rRNA from 1 species